rnacentral:rRNA from 1 species
CAUGGCUCUUUCAGCUCGUGUUCUGAAAUGUUGGUUUAAGUCCCGCAACGAGGGCACCCCUUUCCUUUGUUGCCAGCGGCUCCGGCCGGGAACUCAAAGGAGACUGCCAGUGAUAAACUGGAGGAAGGUGGGGAUGACGUCAAGUCAUCAUGGCCCUUACGAGUAGGGCUACACACGUGCUACAAUGGCGUAUACAAAGAGAAGG